AUCAUGUGAUUUUUGAUGAAUUUCUUCCGUUGGAUAAUUUAUCAGUCAUAAUAUACCGGAGAAUUCACACUAUGUUAAAUGGCAACAUUUUUUAUCAUACUUUUCCUUGUUUAUUUUGGAAUACAUUGUAAAGAAGAUUUAAAUCCUAUUGAGCCAAAGUGUUUUCACCCGCAAAGAACAGGAAAACAUUGUUGUGCCAACUAUAAACAAUCAAUGGAAAAUGUCAUGAAAACAGGGCUAAGAAUUUUUCCCUGUAUGAAAGAGGCCGAUCUGGAGAAACACUAUGGCUGCCUAUUUUGCUAGGAGUAUUUGCAAUCGUGGGAUCUUAAGCUGCUGUGCUGUUUUUUAUGAAUCUGAAAGAAAGGCGUAAUACACAAGAUCCAAAUACCCAUGGCCAGGAUCAGUCUAACUAUGUCGAAGAAAUGUACCUACAAGUACCACGUGUAUACGAUCAACUAAAAAAAGAUGAUAGGUCCUCGAUGUACUGUGACGUCAUUUAGAGUGAACAAGACAAAACACCAAAUAUCUAUACAGAGUGUGUGUAAUUAUGCUUCCUUUAAUGCGAUUUUGGCGUAAUAAAGCAAAUGGAGAUUUUUCAGACUUGCAUGUGUACAUGUACUAACAUCGUCCCUGACAUUUUUUAUGCAAAUUAUGAUGUACCUUUCUACCAGUCUUAAUAUAACAUUAAUUUCUCGGUGUAGUGGUCUAUGUAUGUCAUUUUUCAAUUUAAAUAUGUUCAAAAUUAUCGUUAUUUUUGAAUUUAUGUACUAAGCUUUUUAAAAAUUUUGUUUGGUACCAAUUCUGGGGAAAACUAUAGUAUUUUUGAAAACUUGAUAUUGCUGCAUGGAAAUUUUAAUUUAAAACAUAAACAUUAAGGAAGUGCAAAUAUUUUUUAUAAAUAAUUCAUCAAUGUAUCGAUAUACAAUCGUGAGAAUCUAAUACUAGAGCGAUGUCUUAGGAUCUUAAUGCAAAGCCAGUUUCCUUGCUUUUUGUUUUUAUAAAUUGUUUUUAUGCCAAUAACGUAAAGUUAGGAUAUAUAUCUUGAUAUUUUCUCCGAUUUUACCAUAUGUGAUAGAUAAUAACAGUUUGAAAUAUAAUCAAAGUCUGUAUUAUAUUCACAAAGUGUACGAAUUAGUCAAUAUGAUUAAAACAUGUUCAUAAGGAAAUUAUGGAAAUUUGUUUAGUAAACUUGAGUUUUUCAGAGAAAU
rnacentral:sRNA from 1 species